rnacentral:rRNA from 1 species
CCUACGGGGGGCUGCAGUGGGGAAUAUUGCACAAUGGGCGAAAGCCUGAUGCAGCAACGCCGCGUGAGCGAUGAAGGUCUUCGGGUCGUAAAGCUCUGUCCUAAGGGAAGAAUAUUGACGGUACCUUAGGAGGAAGCCCCGGCUAACUACGUGCCAGCAGCCGCGGUAAUACGUAGGGGGCUAGCGUUAUCCGGAAUUACUGGGCGUAAAGGGUGCGUAGGCGGCACUUCAAUUCAGAGGUGAAAGGCUACGGCUCAACCGUAGUAAGCCUUUGAAACUGUAGGGCUUGAGUGCAGAAGAGAAAGGUGCUAUUCCCGGUGUACAGGUGAAACGCGUAGAUCGUGGGCGGAACACCAGCUGCGAAGGCGGCCCUCUGGACUGCAACUGACGCUGAGGAACGAAAGCGUGGGGGGCGAACAGGAUUAGAUACCCUUGUAGUC